CAUCUGCAAGCAGAGGGGAUGACGAAAUGCAUUAGUACUGAAGAAUAACGUUCUCCCAUCUUCUCGGAAAACAUCUGGGGUAUCACCCUCCCCUCCACUCAUCCCCCCACCUCCCACCACAAAGCUGGUUCUUGGCUGACAGUUUAUCAGAGAUAAAUGGAAACACCUGGGAUCCAGAUAAGGCCAACUGAGUGUGAUCAGCUGAGGAGCCCUUGGGGACAUAUGCCACUCAGUAUUUCUUUUUCCACCCCAGGCAGGUUGGGGACGUGAUCUAGCCUGUGACUGAAGGCGAGGCUCACUUUCACAUUCAUUCUUUCCUUCAUUCAUUCCAAACAACCUCCAGAGGUCAGAGGUCAGCCAGUUCAGCUUCCUGCCUGAGGUUGAGAAGCGAAAGCAUCAGAGAAGAGGAGGAUCGAUUUCACACCAGGGCCUCAGGCUGUAUGGGUGGAUUCCCUGUGCCAGACCGUUUGUCUGGCAACUGCAGAACUAGAAAAGAAAUCUCGGCCCUACCCAGGAGUCUCAGAGCUCCCACCGCCUCAUGCGCCCAUCACAGCUUUUUGGAUCGACAGCCCCCUCUUUCAGUCAAUAGGAGCUUUGUGAGCUAAACAACAGAUGCCACAGGGCCUAGAAGGCAAAUAAAUAUGGUUAUUCAA